CCUACGGGUGGCAGCAGUGGGGAAUAUUGCACAAUGGGGGAAACCCUGAUGCAGCGACGCCGCGUGAGUGAAGAAGGAAUUCGGUAUGUAAAGCUCUAUCAGCAGGGAAGAAAAUGACGGUACCUGAGUAAGAAGCCCCGGCGAACUACGUGACAGCAGCCGCGGUAAGACGGAGGGGGCAAGCGUGAUCCGGAUUUACUGGGUGUAAAGGGAGCGUAGACGGCAGUGCAAGUCUGGAGGGAAAGGCGGGGGCUCAACCCCCGGACUGCUCUGGAAACUGUACGGCUGGAGUGCAGGAGAGGUAAGUCGAAUUCCUCGUGUAGCGGUGAACUGCGUAGAUAUUAGGAGGAACACCAGUUGCGAAGGCGGCUUACUGGACUGUAACUGACGUUGAGGCUCGAAAGCGUGGGGAGCAAACAGGAUUAGAUACCCUGGUAGUC
rnacentral:rRNA from 1 species